rnacentral:rRNA from 1 species
UAGGGAAUCUUGCGCAAUGGGCGAAAGCCUGACGCAGCAACGCCCCGCGUGGGAUGAAGGCCUUCGGUUUGUAAACCGCUUCCAGCAGGGACGAAAAUGACGGUACCUGCAGAAGAAGCCCCGGCCAACUACGUGCUAGCAGCCGCGGUAAUACGUAGGGGGCGAGCGUUGUCUGGAUUUAUUGGGCGCAAAGAGCUCGUAGGCGGUUUCGUAAGGCGGGUGUGAAAACCCCAGGCUCAACCUGGGGACGCCACGCGAGACUGCAAUGACUAGAGUCCGGUAGGGGAGCGUGGAAUUCCAGGUGUAGCGGUGAAAUGCGCAGAUAUCAGAAAGAACACAAACGGCGAGGGCAGCACUCUGGGCCGGUACUGACGCUGAGGAGCGAAAGCGUGGGUAGCGAACAGG